rnacentral:misc_RNA from 1 species
CAUUCCUCAAGCACAGCUUGUGUGUUGGGCCCUUACCGUCGCCGUUGACGGUGACGGUGGCCCCAAAAGCAGAGGCCAUACUGUGCCUGGUCCAGCAGCAUAUAGGGGCUUUGCCACCUGCUGUAGAGGCCGGCCCGGUGGUCCUUUCUGUCUU